AAUGUGGAAUUCGCCCUUCAGGCCUAACACAUGCAAGUCGAACGAAAGUAGCAAUACCUUAGUGGCGAACGGGUGAGUAACACGUAUCUAACCUACCACUUAGUGGGGAAUAACUGUUGGAAACGACAGCUAAUACCGCUUAUGUUAUUUAUUUGCAAUGAUAAAUAAUGAAAGGAGCAUUUGCUUCGCUAAUUGAUGGGGAUGCGGCGUAUUAACUAGUUGGUAAGGUAAUGGCUUACCAAGGUAACGAUGCGUAGCCGAUCUGAGAGGAUGAACGGCCACAUUGGGACUGAGACACGGCCCAAACUUCUACGGAGGCAGCAGUAGGGAAUUUUUCACAAUGGGCGAAAGCCUGAUGGAGCAAUGCCGCGUGACUGAUGAAGGUCUUCGGAUUGUAAAGGUCUGCUGUAAGGGAAGAAGUGCUAGAAUAGGAAAUGAUUUUAGUAUCGACCAUACCUUACCAGAAAGCCACGGCUAACUAUGUGCCAGCAGCCGCGGUAAUACAUAGGUGGCAAGCGUUAUCCGGAUUUAUUGGGCGUAAAGCGUGCGUAGACGGUUUUGCAAGUCUGAGGUUAAAUUUAGGGGCUCAACCCCUAACCGCCUUGGAAACUACAUUACUAGAGUAUAGGAGAGGUUAGUGGAAUUUCAUGUGUAGCGGUGGAAUGCGUAGAUAUAUGAAGGAACACCAGUGGCGAAGGCGGCUAACUGGCCUAUUACUGACGUUGUGGCACGAAAGCGUGGGGAGCAAAUAGGAUUAGAUACCCUAGUAGUCCACGCCGUAAACGAUGAGUACUAAGUGUUGCCAUG
rnacentral:rRNA from 1 species